GACAGAGGUGCCAAGCGUUAGGCGGAAUCACUGGGCUUAAAGCGUGUGUAGGCGGACCUGUAAGUGCCUUGUGAAAUCCCAUGGCUCAACCAUGGAACGGCUGGGCAUACUGCGGGUCUUGAGCUGUCUAGGGGCAACCGGAACAAACGGUGGAGCGGUGAAAUGCGUAGAUAUCGUUUGGAACGCCAAUGGUGAAAACAGGUUGCUGGGGACAUGCUGACGCUGAGACACGAAAGCCAGGGGAGCGAACGGG
rnacentral:rRNA from 1 species